UUGGUCAUUUUCUUCUGAAUCUCCUAGAGAAGUUCUAGGAAGUUCAUUUCCUUCAUCUGCCUGGAAUUAUCCAACUGCUCAGCUUUCUUGUGCUCAGACUUCAGUCUGAAUUUCACCAUGUGGUCCAUCAUCUUCUUUCUCCUGUUGGGGUUCCUCUGCCCUGGACACAGCGUCCCUCUGAGCCCUCAAAAUCCUGACGCAGAUGGAAAGCCAAGCGCUUCUUCUGUUUCCAUCCUCCAGGCUCCAGCAGGACAACUGAAUUGGCCCCAAAAAAUCACUAUCACAUGCAUCAUGGAAGUUUUUUAUCCCAGCGAACUCUUUCUGAAAUCGCUCCGGAAUGGGGAGCCGGUCAGGUUGAGCAUCAGCAUGCAGAAAGUGAAUUUGAAUAGUGAAGAUGAAUUCUAUUGCCUGGGGGAUUACGAAGCCUUGCCAUCCGACGUCAUCCAGAAGACCAUAAAGAAGAACACGGGGAAAUGAUCUGUAGUUGACGUCGCCGUAAUCCUCUCUGACGCCAGCAGCCCUUGCUUCCCAUUUCUUUUGAGAAACCUAGUGUGUUCGGUUUCCACCAUCCUCUCUUUUCUCCUACUUCGUGAUGGAUAAUUCAUGAAAGUGUUCAUUGGCCGCAUCCUUCUGAAGACAAGAAAUAUUGUGUCAUCAAGUAUUUUUCUCAAAACAAGUAAAAAAAAAUAAUAAUCUGGGGGUAAGGCAGUGGUGAAAUGUAAAAUUUGUUACUACAAGUUCUGUGGACGUGGCUUGCUGUGUGUGUGUGUGUGUGUGUGUGUGUGUGUGUGUGUAAUGUGACUGGUGGGCGUGGCCAAUUUUUUUUACUUUUAAAAGCAUUUUUUCUUCAACCUCUUCAGCCAAAGAGGUUAUAAAAAAUGCUUUUAAAAGGCUCUUCUGAUGAUCCCAGCUGAGUUGCCUGAUGG